AUUAACGACAAUGGAUGUGAUGCCAAUGUUAUUUAUACAUAGUAAAUUGGGAGGAUCUCGAUCACUGAUGCCGCGCUAGUUAUAUUUUAAAACAUUAUUUAAUACAAUGUCAAAGCCUAGAAUCAAUUGUAAACGACUUUUGUAACAGGCAAGGUGUUGUAAGUGGUUGAGCAGCUGCCAUACUGCGAUCCACUGAAGCUUAUCCUUUGCUUGAUGAUUCGA
rnacentral:ncRNA from 1 species